UACGUAGGGGGCAAGCGUUGUCCGGAUUUAUUGGGCGUAAAGAGCGUGUAGGCGGCCAGGCAGGUCCGUUGUGAAAACUCGAGGCUCAACCUCGAGAUGUCGAUGGAAACCGUCUGGCUAGAGUCCGGAAGAGGAGUGUGGAAUUCCUGGUGUAGCGGUGAAAUGCGCAGAUAUCAGGAAGAACACCGAUGGCGAAGGCAGGUCUCUGGGCCAUAACUGACGCUGAGAAGCGAAAGCAUGGGGAGCGAACAGG
rnacentral:rRNA from 1 species